CCAGACAUUUUAUUUUAAGACCAAUGACUAGUCUAUAAUAAUUAAUUGAAUUAUGAGAUUAAAUCAAUAAAUAAUUAUUAAAAACGGUAAAGCUACAGUUACACAGCCUAAAAUAAUUAUAUUUUUGCGCUUGUUGUGCCAGGGGGUUUUGCUACAUCAACUAUCUUAUAGCCUGCUGCUACAAGGAAGUGCUGCUACAUUGAAUGAGGGUUUAUAUAUAAACCCUUUAUAUAUUCCAUCUUUCUGAGGCAGAGGGACAUAAUUCUUGGUUUUAUUAUUUUUUAAUUUAAUAUCUCUGGAUAUUUUAUAUAUUUAGUGUGCGUACAUCAGUUAACAACUUUAAUCUUAUACAUUAACUUUAGUUAUAACUUAAUUAAUAAUGAUUUGAUUUAUAGAUUUUUAAAGCAAUACAAGAUUAAACUUAGCAGAAGGCUAAACUUUUACUCUGGAGAAAAAAAAGGAAGACAGCAAAAAUGACAGAGACAAAAAAUUGUGUAUAUCUUGGUGUAGAUGAUUUAUCCUCAAUUUCUUAUAAUAAAACAAAAAAUAUUAUUAAACUUUGGGAUUUAUCUGUAACUCGAAACUCUUUACAGAAGUUCAAUGUUUGCUCUGAGAAGUUUAAUGAACAAAAUUUAUUAAAUGUGUUCAUUCUUAGUUGUCAUUGAAGUACAACUUGGUAAACUACAAAACACAUCAAAUUCAGUUAUAAAAGUUUGAGUAACAAAGGUAUGCUAAUUAUUGUAUUGCCUGAAAGAGUGUCAUUGCAGUGAAGAAUUCAAGUACUCUGGAAGAAAAGAAAAUACGUAAGUAAAUGGUCAAUUAUUUGGCACAAGUCGGAGUUAAAGACAAAGGAGAUUAUAUAUUUUAUUUGCUAAGAAUAGUUUUUUAAAAUGGCCUAGUUGUAAAAUUAAACUAUGCAGGGAGAGGACAAAAAAUUGGAAUAGAAAAAAUGUUGAUUGCAUAUGCUGCUAUUGAAACUGUGAAGUCAAAUAAGCAUGGCUUAUGCAGACAUGUGAUAG